rnacentral:rRNA from 1 species
CAAUGGCGUAUAUUAAAGUUGUUGCAGUUAAAAAGCUCGUAGUUGGAUUUGUGGCGUACGGUGUGUUCCGGGCACUUGUUGUCUGAGUAACCUGCUGUUGCCAUCCUUGGGUGGAACCUGUGUGGCAUUAGGUUGUCGUGCAGGGGAUGCCCAUCAUUUACUGUGAAAAAAUUAGAGUGUUCAAAGCAGGCUUAUGCCGUUGAAUAUAUUAGCAUGGAAUAAUGAGAUAGGACUUUUUUGCUAUUUUGUUGGUUUGCGCAAAGAGGUAAUGAUUAAUAGGGACAGUUGGGGGUAUUCGUAUUCCAUUGUCAGAGGUGAAAUUCUUGGAUUUUUGGAAGACGAACUACUGCGAAAGCAUUUACCAAGGAUGUUUUCAUUAA